rnacentral:lncRNA from 10 species
GCCGGAGUGAUAGAGCAAGAUCUUGCCUCUAAAAUAAAUAAAUAAGCAAGUAAAUAAAUAAAUAAAUAAAUAAAAAGUCUUCUGCUUAGCUUACCACAAUGAUCCUUGCAAUGAUGUACAGGAUUGUAAAAGAAAGUUCCUAAAUGCUUGAGGACCACUCAGGAGCUAUUCUGGCAAUUUGAGCUGAGGUGUUAAAAAGUUCUAGUUAGCUAGUAAUCACAGCUUGCUAUGCACUAUACCUUGUUUAUGAUUUUAACUCAUAAAAUCUUCACAAUGGCCUUAUGACAUAGGUGCUAUUAUUUUUCUUAUUUAACAGUUGAAGAAAUUGAAGCUUAAUGAGGUUAGGAAAUGUGCUCAACUUCAUACAACUUGUAUUUUGUAGAUAUGAGGUUUAAGACCAGAAAGACUGACUCCAGAGCCCAGGCUCUCAACCAUCAUACCAACUGGCCUCCUUUUGUUGAAGGCUGAGGACCAUAUGGCAAGCAUGAAGACAAUAUGAUUGGCACCUUGGUUCUGUUUGAAUCGUCCUCAUAUUACAAAUCUCCACUCUGAUUUACUUUGUGUAUUAUUAAACACGCACCAUAUAUUGUUUUUUGCUGGAUUUUUUUUUUGAUGAAAUAUAACUCAUUCAAUUUUCACAGCACUAGAAUUUUCCCAAAAUUAGAAAUAAGAAAACAGAGCUUGGUUACGUAUCUUGUAUCUUGUUUCAGGUCUCAGAGCUAUGGGGUAGCAGAUGUAGACUUUGACCUCGAGUUUGCCUAACUUUAAAGGCUUUUUAUUACACUGUAUGAUUAACCUCAGGACAUCAGGCACAGCAUGUUCAAAGCUCUGAGAAACAGAAAUAUG